UCCUAAAUGGCCUGGUGUUUCUUCUUGUCUGGAAAAGCUUUUUGUGAGAGCCAUUCAAGAGCUAUGGCAGUGGUGGUCGCGGUUAUUGCACGUGGUGGUGGAUACAGAGGAGGAGGAG